UCCUGGCUGUAAAUUAUGCGCACUUGGCGUUACAAAACCUUCGGGGUUUUGUAGUGCCGUAGCGAAGGUGUUAAGUGCGCCGCCUGGGGAGUACGGCCGCAAGGCUUAAACUUAAACCAAUUGGCGGGGGAGCGCCACAAGGGGUGGAUGUUGCGGUUCAAUUGGAUACAACGCCUGGAAUAUCACCGGAGCGGACAGCAGGAUGAAGGCCAAGCUGAAGACUUUGCCAGACA
rnacentral:rRNA from 1 species